rnacentral:tRNA from 1 species
GCGCCCGUAGCUCAGUCGGAUAGAGCGGCUGGCUUCGAACCAGCAGGUCGGGAGUUCAAUCCUCUCCGGGCGCGCCA